UUGCCUUGUACACACCGCUCGUCACGCAAAUUUAUA
rnacentral:rRNA from 1 species